rnacentral:rRNA from 1 species
UACGGAGGGUGCAAGCGUUAAUCGGAAUUACUGGGCGUAAGCGCACGCAGGUGGCUGAGUCAGUCGAUUGUGAAAGCCCCCGGCUCAACUGGGGAGGGUCACGCGAUACUGAUCGACUCGAAGGCAGGAGAGGGAAGUGGAAUUCCCGGUGUAGUGGUGAAAUGCGUAGAUAUCGGGAGGAACACCAGUGGCGAAGGCGGCAUCCUGGACCGAGAUUGACGCUGAUGCGCGAAAGCUAGGGGAGCAAACGGG